rnacentral:rRNA from 1 species
UACGUAGGGUGCAAGCGUUGUCCGGAAUUAUUGGGCGUAAAGAGCUCGUAGGCGGUCUGUCGCGUCUGCUGUGAAAACUCGGGGCUUAACCCCGGGCCUGCAGUGGGUACGGGCAGACUAGAGUGUGGUAGGGGAGACUGGAAUUCCUGGUGUAGCGGUGAAAUGCGCAGAUAUCAGGAGGAACACCGAUGGCGAAGGCAGGUCUCUGGGCCAUAACUGACGCUGAGAAGCGAAAGCGUGGGGAGCGAACAGG